AACUGAUACUACCUGCGGGAACCUGCGGAAGGAUCGUUAACGAGUUUUGAAGUGGGAUUGAUGCUGGCCUUCCGAGGCAUGUGCUCGUCCUCGCUCAUCCACUCACAACACCUGUGCACUGUUGAGGUGUGGCCCCCCUUCAAUGGAGCCGUUCCCCCCUAGGGGGUCGAGCCGGGGUCAGGCCUUCUUCGUCACAAACAACUUGUAAUGUCUAUUCGGAAUGUAAUGCUUCAUGUUAAU
rnacentral:misc_RNA from 1 species